UAGCGUAGGGGGCAAGCUGUUGUCCGGAUUUAUUGGGCGUAAAGAGCGUGUAGGCGGCCGUACAGGUCAGCUGUGAAAACUCGAGGCUCAACCUCGAGACGUCGGUUGAAACCGUAACGGCUAGAGUCCGGAAGAGGAGAGUGGAAUUCCCGGUGUAGCGGUGAAAUGCGCAGAUAUCAGGAGGAACACCGAUGGCGAAGGCAGGUCACUGGGCCGCAACUGACGCU
rnacentral:rRNA from 1 species